AGCAGCCGCGGUAAUUCCAGCUCCAAUAGCGUAUAUUAAAGUUGUUGCAGUUAAAAAGCUCGUAGUUGAAUUUCGGGAUUAAUUUACUGGUCGUGCUAUUGUACGUACUGGUUUUAUUGAUUCCUCCCUUCUGACGAACUAUGAUGCCAUUAAUUUGGUGUCAUAGGGAAUCAGGACUGUUACUUUGAAAAAUUAGAGUGUUUAAAGCAGGCUCACGCUUGAAUACAUUAGCAUGGAAUAACGGAAUAGGACGUUGAUUCUAUUUUGUUGGUUUCUAGGAUCGACGUAAUGAUUAAUAGGGAUAGUUGGGGGUCGAUUAGUAUUCAAUUGUCAGAGGUGAAAUUCUUGGAUUUAUUGAAGACUAACUACUGCGAAAGCAUUUGCCAAGGAUGUUUUCA
rnacentral:rRNA from 1 species